UACACAGAAGUGAUCCAAUAUUUAGCUAUAGAGCUAUAUUAGUUAAGAAGGUAUUUUUAAAGUAAAAUUUGUAGGUUUUUAGCUUAGUCUCCAUUUAAAAUAUGUUCUGUUUUCUUAACUUCAGGAUAUGUGUGUAGUUUGUGGCAGUUUUGGCCAAGGAGCAGAAGGAGGAUUACUUGCCUGUUCUCAGUGUGGUCAGUGUUACCAUCCAUAGUUUGUCAGUAUUAAGAUGGAGUCUCGCUCUGUCCCCCAGGCUGGAGUUCAAUGGCACAACCUUGGCUCACUGCAACCUCCACCUCCCAGGUUCAAGCAAUUAUGCUGCCUCAGCCUCCCAAGUAGUUGGGACUACAGGCAUGCACCACCACACCUGGCUAAUUACAUAUUUUUAGUAGAGACUGGGUUUCUACAUGUUGGUCAGGCUGGUCUCAAACUCCCAACCUCAGGUGAUCAGCCUGCCUCAGCCUCCCAAAGUGCUGGGGUUAGAGGCAUGAGCCACCACGCCCAGCCUGUUUUAACUCUUUGAUUAUCUGAAUCUUCCAAUUCCCCCCAACCACCAGUGAAUUAUUUCUGCUAAUUUUUUUUUCUGUUUUUGAAAAGAGAAUGAUGGAAACCAACCCUGUUCCAGUGGGAGAGUACAGGGAUUCCCUGGAAAGACUCUGGCUUGGAGCCCUCAGACCAGAGUUUAGGUCCAGGGGUCCACUUGGUGACUCAGGAGAAACCCUGGACCCCACCUCAAGGAAUCUUGGAUCCCCCAGUGGGGGUCUCAGAAGCAGGAGGUUGCUGGGCCACGGCAGGGACAAGGCUUUCUCCAGCACCCCCAUGCAAGGUUCCUCCAUAGGAAGAAAUCAUGUUGCCCGUUCCGCAGCAGGCAUGCCAUCCCAGGCCCCUGAGAACCCCAGGGGACAUCCCUGCUCUGCCAACCGUGUGAAUACACUCCACCUCCCAGCCUCUGCCAUGUCACAGAUGACUUGAGGCUUCAGAUGAGUGACUCCCCAGAGUCACAUGGGCCUAUGCUUGGGUCCCAGCCUCUUCUAUGACCCUUGAGGUGGCUCUCAGCGUAGGAGGCUGAUUUCUAGGCCUCUCUGUGCUGUUCUGUGAAUGGGACAGGUAACAGACCUCUAUGGCAGGCAAUAAAUGCCAAGUGCCCACCACAAGGCCUGGCAACAAACUCUCAGCAAAUUCAGGUCAUUCUCUGGGAGUGGCCACAGAUGAUUCUCAGAACCCCAACCUCUGGCACUGCUCCAGCCUAUGCUGGACCCUUCAUCAUCCAGGUGUCCCAGGCCCACAAGUAUCUGACACCUCAGGUGGCACUUGUGGCCCACUGUGUGACCCUAAGCAUACCUCCAUGUUCUCUGGGCUGAGUCUCUGAGCCGCCACAGCUCUGCAGAGCCCAGGCUGUGGGCUCCAGCCCCUGACCUCCAGCUUGACUUACUAAAUGUAAUCUCCAGGGCUAAUUUUAGUCCUGGGCAGGAAUUGGACACAUUCCCAUGGCUAGGAUGAGUCCCUGGAGGCUGGAGGUGACACCAUCCCACAGGACCCAGUGCCAAGAUAAUCCCCCAAAUGACCCCUAUGCAUGUGGUCUCAUGAGAGCCGGGACUGGGGCUGAGCUUGGGCCUGAGUCUCUUGGGCAUAGAAGGCUCAACUAAGCCCCUUCUCAAUCUGUCUCAAUUUUAGUUAUAGGGACACUAUGGCUAGUGCAGAGGUCACGUGACAGGGGAACCCCGAGAGGCAGGAAGUUGGGGGCCUUUCUGGACUGAUGUCCUAGAGCUGAGACAGGAAGUGAAUUCCAUGCAGAAGAAACAGCAGGUACAAAGAUCCCAAGGGGGAGAGAAACAGCAGUGAGGUUGGAGUGGGUGGGGAGGGCAAGAGGCCACAGAGGCUGGGCCACACUGGGCCUUCUGAGCUGCAGGAGGCUCUGGGUUUUAGUCUAAGAGCAAAGACGAGCUAUGAGAGGGUUUUGAGGAGAGAAGGGAUGGGGCUGAUUUAUCAUUUUAACACGCAGCUCAUGGCUACCAUGGAAAGCAGGACUAUCAGGGCUGGGGUGGAGAUGGCAGGAGGCUGGAGAUGAGGUCAGGGCUGUGUCCAUCUGAGCAGAGCCUGGGGCGGUACCCUCUCUGUGCUGGUCUGUACCUCACACUGUAAGUCACUGGAUCCCACGGCUUAUUUGGCCCUCCAGAACAUCAGGAGGUCCCCCACCAACUCUGGUGCGAGGUGACAGGUGCAGAUGAGUUGAUGCGGGGCUUAACUCUCCUGACCCCCCAUGACACUGGAACUCUCCUGAUCCCAUCACCAAAGAACCAAGCUGUCCCCCACUCUGCCCCUGAGAGAUCAAGCUCUAAUCAUGGCCUCCCUUGCUCACACAUUCUCCAUGGUUCCACAUUGACCUUGUGAGAAAAUUUCUGCAUCCAGCCUGACAUUCAAACACCUUGCCCUAAUCAACUCCUGCCUGCUUCUCUCUAUCUUUGACAAAUAUUUCUGUCUAGAAGGUCCUUUUUUCCCUUCUUCACCUAGCCAAAUCCUAUUCACACUUCAGAACUCAGCUCAGGUCAGAUAAGGUGGUUCAUGCCUGUAAUUCCAGCACUCUGAGAGGCCAAGACAGGAGGAUUACUUGAACCCAGGAGUUUGAGACCAGCCUGAACAACAUGAUGUAACCCCAUCUCUACAAAAAAUACAAAAAUUAGCUGUGUGUGGUGGCAUGUGCCUGUAGUCCCACCCUGAAGUAGGAGGAUCAAUUGAGCAUGGAAGGUCAAGGCUGCAGUGAGCAGUGAUUGUGCCACUGCAUUUCAGACUGAGCUACAGAGAAAAAAAAAAACUCAGCUCAAGAACAAGCAUUCCUCCAAGAAGCCCUCCCUGUUGUUCCUCUGGAAUCCCACAGUCCCCAUCCUUCCCCUGUAGUUCUGACCCCAUGGGGCUGGCAGUAGAUACAUCCAACUUUGUCUCCCCUAGACUAGACAGCCCUCUAGAUCAGGCCUAGGAGUGGACAGUAAAAUUUAGAGAGUGCAACAGGUGAAGAGAGACGUGACUGACUCCCUCCUCUUUAGCUUCCCUUGACAGCUUCCUCUCAGACUGCCCCAGCUGAUAUCCUGCCCAGAAACACACAUGCUUGCAAAUCCAGCCACUAACCAUUGACCUGUCUUGGACUCAAGUGUGAAGAGCCAGCCAAGGAAUGCAGACCUGGAAGCCUAGGGUGUAUGUGUGUGUAUUUGUAGUCAAGUGAAAAUCCCACCCAAGCUCCAGACAGACCCUGGCGGCCCAUUCUGCAGAUGUUGGUGAGGUUGGUAUUUCUGUGGAGGUGUCAGCAAAGGUUGAAUGCGCCAGGCAUGAGGCAAAGGCCAAGGUUUAGGGGGACUUCUACACACACACCUGCCCCCUUGCCUUGUCCAGCCAGAAAGCAGAGAGCAGUGGCAUCUGCCCAGCACAGAGGCAGAUGGGUGGAUCCACUCACCCGAGGAUAGAGCAGGGAAGACGGGACAGGAGAAAUCCAAGAGGGCUUCUCAGGGGAGGAGGCGUGUAGUUUGGCUUAGAUACAGAGGCUAGACAGGGGCCUGAGCAGAUGAGUAGGGGACUGGGCAUUUGAAGCCAAGAGUCUUGCACCUCCCUACCCCUUUCUUUGCACCCUCAUACUCGAGCAUUUAUUAGCUACUUGUGCUAACCACUGAGCUAAGCUGACCUCCAAGUAAUUAGAAAGCUUAAGUAAACCAACAUCUGUAGAUGAGAAAGGUGACUGAGGACCUACUGUUACAAAGGCAAGGUAAUUUGAGGCUGUAAUGAGCUAUGAGCAACUGUGUUCCAGCCUGGGAGACAGAAUGUAAAAAAAUAGUAAUAACAGAAAGUAUACAUCAAUCUCAAUUUUUUUUAAAAAGGCAGAUGGUUUUACAGUUGUUUUAUCAAAACUCAAAGAACAGGAAAGCCCACAUUAUUUCAGCAAAGUCAGACCUUUUAAACAGAUGAUAGCUGCCCAAGUCAUUUUUAUGAAACUUCUUUAUAUCAAAACCUAAGUCUAAAAAGAAAAGUGUUGACCUUGAUACGGGCUGUGUUAGGCAGAGAUUUCAAUGAAGUCCUCUCUGAAGAGGUGACAUUUGAUCUGAGACCUGAAGCACCAGAAAGAGGCAGCCAAGCCAGGAAGAGGCAGGAAUGGGAAGGUCUAGGGAAAGACUGGUCCUGGCAGGCGGAACUGCAGUGGCAAAGGCCCAGCGGUGAUCAGGAGCUUGGCAUUUGCAAAAAUAGUGUGUGUGACUGGACAGCGUGAGCAAGUGGGCAGAGGAGGAGAUCGUGAUAGGGUGUGCACUGGUCAGGCCACCUAGGUCCUGGAGCCCACAGUGAGAAGCAUGGGCUUGACUCUGAGGGCAAAGGAGAGCCACGGAGAGUUUGGGUAAGGGGGAAAAUUGGCAUUUAAUUUUAUAGCUUUUUGAAGUUUGUUUUGUUUUCUUAGAAACAAGGUCUCAGUCUGUUACCCAAACUGGAGUGCAGCUCAAAAUAUUUUCCAAUUUAUCUUGUGAUUUUUUUUGAUCCAAUGAUUUAGAGGUGGGUUGUUAAAUUUUCACAUAUUUUCAGAUGUCCAAUAUUUCUUACUGUUGUUAGUUUCUAAUUCUGUUUCAGUCAGAUAACUUAUUUGUUUUCCCUGUCUCUCCUGUCUUCUGAUCCUGUUUUUCCAUUGACUACCAUUUUUAAAAUCAACUUAUUUCAGUGUGUCAUUUACAAUCCUAUUUUAAUUUUUUGCUCUUUCUCUGAAGUGGUUGUUCCAGGGAUUAUAAUGUGCUUUUCCAUUUUUCCAACGAAUGAAGAACAAAGUGAUCGACUUCUUGCCUCUGCCGGGGCUCUGAAGCGCUGCCCCGAGGCGGUGGAUGGAGGGUGUCAGGCGUGACAUCAAGAGCUCUGCAGCCAGGGCCUGGGACAACCUCCCGCUCCACCUCCCCGGAGCCUCGCAGCCAGCAUCCCCAGCGGCCCGUGCGCCCCGGCCAGGCGGGACCUCAGCGCUGUGGCGGCCGCAGACCUCACCUGGGCAGGCCCCGGGCUGCAUGCGGACCGCCGGGCGCCCAGGACCCUAGAGGCAACCAGCGGGCUGGAUCCGCACAGCGGCCAUGGGGAAUGGAUGGUGUACAGGGGACAAAGCUACACACGUCUUUCAUUUUGGAGGGGGGAAAAAAGAAAAAACGGAAAUGAAAGAUAGAAAAUGUGUGGGCUCUCCGUCCUUUCCUUUGCUCCUGAGCGCUCUCUGGGGUGGGGGGCUCAGCGAGCUUCAAGAGGUGGCCGAGAUUCCCCCACCUCGCCCCCAGAUCCCCGGGAGAGGUCAGCACGGCCCCUCCCGUGGGUGUCACAGAGACCGAUGCGGGUCCCGCUCCCCGGGAAGGAGUGGGUCUGGGUCCAGUCCACAGGAUCCCCUCGCGGAUGCUGACGCAGAAUGGAGUUGAGGUGGGGGCAGCGCUGGACCCCAGGGUCCCUCCCUGCCUCCUGGGGAGCCCGGUGACCCAGGCAGCCCUGGUGAGGCCGCAGGAGUCUGGGCCCUAGCGACGCCCCCGGGCUCCCACAGGACGAAUGUAGACGGUGAGGCCAAGGACGCCCUGCUGCCCUCGGGACUGUCCCUCCAGCCCCCAGCUUUCCGUGGCUAUUGGGCCCCCUCUGCAGAGGGGCAGGGGAGCCCACCCUGGAUCCUGAGGCGCCGAGCUUGAGGGACCCCAGAGCUCCAGCCAGGCCGCUUUCUUUGAGGAUGGUGAAGCUGAGGUCCCGAGGAGGGCAGGGGCAGGUCCCGGGCGCUCCUCAGGCAAAGGGAGCCGAUUUAGGGGCUGGGGUCACAGGAGGGGCUUCUGCGACCUCUAGGGCCCUAGAGCCCGGGAGGAUGACAGACUGGGGGCCUUUCUUCCACCCCUGGGGCUGGGCAGACGCUCAGCCUGUGCAACCCGAAGCUGCUUCUGCCCAGUCCCAGCCGCGGCCCCUUUAAGAGGGGGUGGUGCUUCAGCCUGGCGCCAGGGACGCUGCCAGCAUGCAGGCCCCGAGGGAA
rnacentral:lncRNA from 1 species